AUGAGAUAGCAAAGCACACUUC
rnacentral:miRNA from 1 species